ensembl:lncRNA
AGUUAUUUUGGAGAUAGACUAUUUUAUUUGAGUGCUGGCUAGCACGGAAUGAUGAAGAGCCCUUACUCCUAAUGUUCAAGCCAUAUUGUGUUAGGAUGGUUGUGGUGGGUAGAAAAUAUGCAGGCUUCUUUGGGAGUUGUUGUGUUGCUUCUAUUCAGAGUCCUCAGAUAGUAGUAAGAUAAAGGUCUUGCAGGACUAGAUCAUACAAGGAGAGGUAUCUAUCUUUUUCAGUUGUUGCAAGUGGCCUUUAAGUGAGUGAAGAGGUAGAAAUAUAACACCCAAUCAGAAGGAGCCUCCAAGUACAGGAAAGGCACUGGGGCUGUUUACCUGGGUUGAGCGUUUACAACCUUAGGUCGAUUAGGUGCUAACUACACGUGUGUAAUUUGAUCUUGCCUAUGAGACUGUUUUGUAGCAACUGAAAUUCUAUUUCAAUUCGAAUCAGCGAGUUUUGUGGUGAAUUAGAUUUUUAAUCUGAAAGAUUUUUUUCAUAUUCCAGUGUAAUCACAGCCUUUAAUCUCUCAGCCUUGGCUAAUGCUCUUCCAAUGGUAAUCAUUAUCUGUGGCUGUAUAUAUCUUCUUUCUGUAUUCUAAUCCCUUCAUGCUUUAUUUUCUCUUUCUUUCUGUGACCUUUUCUCUUUGCUUAAUUUAUUGCAUUCUUUUCCCUGGCAGAUUCUGUAAAUAUGUGCAUUACUGUUCGUUUCAUCUCAAUGUAUAUGGGAUUUAUGCCUAUACAAAUUGCCCUCCACUUAAUUUAAUCACAGGUUAAUUAGAUGCUCCACUUAAUUUGAUCAAAACGUUUCUUGAGCCAAAUCACUUACAUUAAGACUAGUGGUACUUUCUACUCUUUAGUUUGAUCAAUAUCGAUCAUUUUAAGCAGGUACUUUGGGGUAAUUCAAUCACCGGCUAUGGAUAUUUUCCAUUUAAUUAAUAACAAAGGACAACAUCCUUAAUGAGAAGAGAAAAUAAAAGUAGAAAAUAUCCACAGACCUGAAAGCAACUUGAGUAGUUUUGGUUGGUUCUUUUUGGUUUUUUUUUUUUUUUUGGCACAGUUUUACUUUAGUUUUCACUUUUGUCCUGAAGCAGGUUUUUUGGGUUUUUUUUUUUUUUGGUCAGCAAAAUGAUCAAUUUUCCUGUCACUUUUAAGUUGUGAUGGGCAGGUUUCUGAUACUGAUGGCAGUGUUCAUGAAUAUGCAAAGAAAUAAAAGUAAGGAAGUUCAGUAUCACUUCCAUACUUGGCGUGUAUGCACUUUUCUUACAGAAUGGCCUAUAACAUAACUAUUUACUGAUGCUACUAGAUGAGUGUCUGCUGAACUUGGAAUUGAUUUCUGGAAGCCAUGGGACAAGAAUGCCUGCUCUGACACCCAGUGUCAUGAAUAGAUUUGCUUAGUUCUGCAACACUUAAUUAGCUUACCUGAUUUUAGACAGACAUGACAUUUACACUGUGAGGUUUGCACUCUAGCUCAAUAGGUGAAUCAGCUAGCUGAGCUGUGGUAAGACUCUACUACAGUGCUCUUUCUGAAAUUAUGCAUCUAAAUUGCAGAAGGUCUCAAACUAAUUACUCUUUUUAUCCAGCAGUGUUGUCAGAAACAAAGUGACAAGUGCAGGUAUUAUUAAAUAUGCUAUUCACCUAUUAUCUGUUUAAAAAACCAAAACAACAACAACAACAACAACAAAAAAACAAUCCUUAUAAAACAAACCUCAAAGUCAACACACAUCAAAUACAAAUUCUUUAACUAUCAGCUAGUGUAACCUGUAGUCCUGGUAACCUGUAGCUACAGGUUUGAUGCAAGAUACUCUGAACACUUGAUUAGCAUCCUGGAUUUCUAUUGAUUUACAGAGGAUUGAAAUAGGCUUUUGUGUUUAGUCCUAGCAACCUUAAACUAUGUAAGGUUUUUGGCUCACUCAGUCUUCUUCACGCUUGAAUUGACAUUUUCUUAGGCUUGGAAAAGUACUUUUUCACAUCUAUUUAACUAUUGUUGUUUCACAACUAUUCAACAUCUUUGUUUGCAGUGUGGGCAGUGGGAUUGAAUGCAAAUUCAUCAAGUUUGCAUUCAACUUACUGGAGGGAAGAGUUGCCAUCCAGAGAGACCCAAACAGGCCUGAGAAUUGGGCUCAUGUAAACCUCUUGAAGUUCAACAAGGGCCAAGUGCAAGGUUCUGCACCUGGGUUGGGUCAAUCCCAAGUACAAAUACAGCCUAGGCAGAGAUUGGUUUGAGAGCAGCUCUGACGAAAAGGUCUUUGGGAUACUGGGUGAUGAGAAACUCAACAGGAGCUGACAGUAUGCACUUGCAACCCAGAAAACCAACCGUAUCAUGUAUUGCAUCAAAAGAAUUGUAGCCAGCAGGUCAAGGAAGAUGAUGCUUCCUAGUCUCUCACUUACCUGCAGUCCUGCAUUUAGCUCUGGGGCUACCAUGAUAAGAAGUGCAUGGAGCUCCUGAAGCAGGUUCAGAGGAGGAUCACAAAGAUGAUCAGAGGGCUGGAGCACCUCUCCUAUACAGGCAGGCUGAGAGAGCUGGGGUUCAGCCUGGAGAAGAGAAGGAUCCUGAGAGACCUUACUGUGGCCUUCCAGUUUCUAAAGAGGGCCUACAAGAAAGCUGGGGAGGUUCUUGUUAUUAGGGAAUGUAGUGCUAUAACAGGGGAUAAUUAAUUUAAACUAAAAAAGGGGAGAUGUAGACUAGAUGUUAGAUGGAGUUUUUUAAAUCAGAAGGUCACAAGGCACUGGAACAGGCUGCCCAGAGAAGCUGAGGAUGACCCCUCCCUGGAAGUGUUCAAAGCUAGGUUGGAUGAGGCUUUGGGCAAUUAGGUCUAAUGGAAAGAGUUCCUGUACAUGGCAGGGGUUUGGAACUAGAUGAUACUUAGGGUCUAUUCCAACCUAAAUCAUUCUAAGAUUCUAGGAAAAGCUGCUUGUUUGAGCAACAGGGAAAACAAUGGUAUAUAGUAGAUUAAGAAGCUUCUCCAUCUAAAAUUGCUUGAGACCAAAUUCUGGAUUAACACAUUCCUUCUGUAUACAGUACAGGUGAAAUUUAGGGAAUAAUAAUGAAUCCAUAGCUGAUGACAAUUUUAUGUAAAGUAAGAUUUCCUUUAAGGGAAAUGAGUAGUGUUCCAGUUUAUAUGCUUCAGUGGUUAGCAGAGAUCUACAGCCAUGGGGAUGAGAGUGACGUAGUGUGGAUAGCAAUGAAGCAAAGCAGUAAGGGGAAACAAUAGGAUGACCAAACACUGGUAAACAUCAUCAGGAGCAAAAGAUAAACUCAUUAUUUACCUGGAGCUGCUGGAGUGGAAGAACAAGAGAAGUUGUAGUCUUUCUCUCAGAGAGGAAAAG